AUGUGUUCAGAUGCACCUUCAAGUCUCUACACUGUUCUCCAGUCUCCCGUAUCAGAUCCAGUUCAACUGGGAGGAGAUACAACUCUGCAGUGUUCAAUACUCACAGAUAACUCUGCAGGAGAUCACAGUGUGUACUGGUUCAGACACGGAUCAGGAGAAUCUGAUCCAGGAAUCAUCUUCACUCAUGGAAACAGGAGUGAUCAGUGUAAGAAAAGCUCUGAGACUGUUUCUCCUACACAGAGCUGUAUCUACAAACUCCCCAAGAACAACCUCAGCCUCUCUGAUGCUGGAACUUACUACUGUGCUGUAGCUGCAUGUGGACACAUCAUCUUUGGAAAAGGAACCAAACUGGACUUUGAAGAUAAUGGUGUUUUGGUCCAAAUCAUUCUUGUUCUGGCAACAACAACCACCAUAUCCACGGUCAUGGUUCUGCUUCUGUGCGUAAAAUUACACGGCAGUCAUCAAAAAGGUUGAAGUGUUGAAAUUUGCUGUAGCGGGUUUUACCGAAAAAACAGCUGAGAUUACAGACUCUGAAGUGCACUCCCAUGUCAUUUAUUACUGACUUUACUAAAUUACUAAAGCUUGAAGUGAGGAAUAUCCAGUGUUGGGUAAUAUAGGACUUUAGUCAAUCUGGAAAAUGUUAUUACACAAACGAAGUACUUGUAAUCAGUGGUGGCAGGUAACAUAACUUUUCAGCACGUCGUAACUGUGCUUAAAUAUGUACUGUAAUGUUUUAUACGUAACUUAAUCACAUUUUCUAAACAGACAUAUUACUUUUACAUGUAAAUUACGCUGUUUUUUGAUCAUACAGUUUCUAAGCAGGCAGAUGUUACUGCUGUUAUUGCAUCUGUUUCGAGUUGUGUCCAUUAGUAAUGCCAAAAAAUAAAACAUUUUU